AUAAUACUCCUUCCGUCCGGAAAUACUUGUCCAAGGAAUGGAUGUAUCUAGAUGUAUUUUAGUUUUAAAUACAUCCAUUUAUAUUCAUUUUUACGACAAGUAUUUCCGGACGGAGGGAGUACUAC
rnacentral:pre_miRNA from 1 species